UUUGACUACACUGUGGGACAAGAGAGAUAAGUUUGGUAUCCUUGAAGUAUUAUUUACAUUUUACAAUAAAUAUAUAUUAUUACUAAUAGACUAUUAUUAUUACGAUAAUAAUACCUAUUCGCCAUUUCGAAAUAGUAUAAUGUAUUCGUGCAAUGAAACUGUUAGUUGUGCAGUUUCCAUUCGUGAUUUUGCAAUAACAUCAUUUAUCAUCCUUUUCCAAAGGAUCCCUCCAGUAGGAAAAAGUGUGGAAAGUGCUUGUCAUCGAAGGGACCCCUUAGGAAAAUACCCUAGAAUUUGUGAGAAUCAUUUUGAGGAAAAUGCUUAUAAGAGGAACUUAAAGGUGAACUGCUGAGACUAUUUAUAAAAAGAAAAUUGAAAGAAUCCCUUCCAGAGGUAUCAUACCUGGAAAACGAUUUGAGCAAGCUCCAAGGAAAAAGAAAUCAAUUAAAAUAAUAGUCCAAUUUCUAGAAGAUUCUAAUGAAAUAUAUUUGGAGACAUUAGACAAAUCAUCUCAAACCAACGUAAAAUCAACUUGUGAUAGAAAAGGUUAACGCAUCUGAUGAAGCAUAUGUAUACCGGAGUAGAAGCUCUACUUCUAAUACCAGAAAAGAUCCACUCAUUCUAGAACUCAAGUUACUAAGGAAACAGAUUUACACAAAAAAGUGAAAAUCCUUCAAUCGGAAAAUAGAUAAUUAAAAUCCAAAUCUAAUUUUAAGGACGCAAUGAAAGGAGAACUGGAAAAGAGAUUUACUAAAUCUCAAUAUAAACUCAUUAUCAGUGAGAAGAGGUUUGGAAAAUGGAAUGAAGAGGAUUAUAUUAAAGGACUGAUACUGAAGUCUCUUUCCUCAAAACCCUACCAUUAUAUUAAAUCCAGUAGUCUACUCCGGUUCCUAGUGUAACAAUCCUCAAACAGUGGAUCCGAAAUUUUAAAACAGCUCCUGGAAUACAAUCAAAUAUUAUUAAAAUUAACCCUCAACAAAUCAAAUCCAACGAAACUCCAAAUGGAAACUUAGCUGUCUUGUGCUUCGAUGAGAUGAAGCUCCGAUUGUUAUCAACAAAGCAAGAUAAAUGUGAUUGUAAUAAUGAAGCAAAUUAACGGAAAUAAAAAUGGUGAAGUGGUGUUGUCUAAAUUAUCUGCUUUGAUGCGCUACCAAAAGUGCAUAAGCAUUUCUUCAAAAUCUUUGAUAUCAUUGUAUCAAUACAUAAAUAAUGAAAUUGGCCUUCCAUAUAUAUUGGCAUCUGGUUUAAAUCAAGACUGUCUUAAAAACUUUUUUUCAAGAAUAAGAUAUAUUGGACGAACCCACUACUAGUGCGGUAGAGGCCAUGGACCGAUUUCAGAUACUCGUAAUAAGUGGCUCAUAAGAAAAAGUUGUAGAGGAUGCUCCCAUCAGAUUUGAAGAUGUUUCAACAAAUUACAGGUCCUAUUUUGAGCGAAGCAGAUUCAGAAGAUAACAUAGAAUUUUAUCAAGACUUUGAUCAUAUAAUUUAUCCUCAAAUCAUUAAAGGUGAGAUUAAGGAAGAGAUAAAUAAUGAUGAAAAUACAAUAGAACAACCAUCUAAUGAUUUACAUCAUCCUAAAAUCUGUGGAGAUGAAGGAUUUAUUUAUGUUACUAGAUAUGUGGCCAAAUUGUUACAUCAAAAAUUUUCGCACUCUGGGGUAUAUAAUACUUCCACCAUCCAAGUAUCCAAAAUAUGAUAGAUAAUGAUAGAAUUGGAAAGGACAAGGGUGAAUAGUUAACACAGAAUAACUAAUAAGUAAUAAGCCUUCCAUUUAAUUUUCCUAAUGGAUUUGAGUGAAAUCGACCAUCUUCUUCGUUCCUCGUUGUAGUCCACUAUGGCAAUGUGAUCCUCUAUAGAAGCUGAAACUUAGCUUAAUAUGUUUCACUACAACGUGGAAGAUACUUAAUGGGUUUGAAUGUCUCUUAAUAAAAUGAAGACCUUGUCAAAUUGUAAAAUCAAAAAUGAAGAUUGUUUCUUUUUUUAUACGAUGGAAAAUAUAAACAAAAUACACAACUACUUAUACGCUAUGACGUCACUAUUAAAAGCCUGGUGGAAGUAAAACAUCACUCGUAAAAACUUUAUGGUAUAACCUUGUAUUUCUAUUAACCUUGGUUUUAUCUAUAUAUUUCUAAAUCUUGCAGUUCUUUGUUUGUUAAAUAAUGCACAAUUAUUCUAUCUGAAAUACACUUGACGUCUUUUAAAGAAA
rnacentral:lncRNA from 1 species